rnacentral:rRNA from 1 species
AUUACUCCUACGGGAGGCAGCAGUGGGGAAUAUUGCGCAAUGGGCGAAAGCCUGACGCAGCCACGCCGCGUGAGCGAUGAAGGCCUUCGGGUCGUAAAGCUCUGUGGGGAGAGAAGAAGAAAGCGGGUGAAGAGUCCGCCUUGACGGUAUCUCCUUAGCAAGCACCGGCUAACUCCGUGCCAGCAGCCGCGGUAAUAAU